rnacentral:tRNA from 1 species
AUUUAAGUAGUUUAUAAAAAAAUAUUGAUUUGUGGUAUCAAAGAUAUUGAAUAAUCUUAAAUU